GCAUAUCAAUAAGCGGAGGAAAAGAAAAUAACAAUGAUUCCCUUAGUAACGGCGAGUGAAGGGGGAAAAGCUCAAAUUUUAAAUCUGCUAGGUUUUACUUAUCAGAAUUGUAAUUUGAAGAAGCGUUUUCCGCGUCUUGGUUGGCCCAAAUCCUUUGGGAUAAGGUAUCAUGGAGGGUGAGAAUCCCGUUCGGUUGACCUUAUGACGCUCUACGAUACGCUCUCUAAGAGUCGAGUUGUUUGGGAUUGCAGCUCAAAAUGGGAGGUAAAUUUCUCCUAAGGCUAAAUAUUGGCGAGAGACCGAUAGCGAACAAGUACCGUGAGGGAAAGAUGAAAAGAACUUUGAAAAGAGAGUUAAACAGUACGUGAAAUUGUUGAAAGGGAAACGAUUGAAGCCAGUCGUACCGGCGGGUAAUCAGCCUUUCGGGUAUGAUUCUGUGGAGCGUGAGGAGUUAAACGCCUUCAUGCCUGCAUAUUCGUGCUCUUGGGUGUACUUGCUCGUGUGGUUGGUUAACAUCAAUUUCGGAUAUCAUAAAAUGGCUGGAGGAAUGUAGCUUCGAUUUCGAUUGAAGUGUUAUAGCCUUCGGCAGAUGUGAUGAUCGGGAUUGAGGAUUGCAACGGAUACCCUUCGGGGCUACCUGUCUGAUCUCUGAUCGUUGCUUUGGUGCCGAAAGCGUGCUUACGGUUAUCAAAGUCGAUGGUUAAUAGGUUAGAACGGGUUAAAUUCGUUAAGGAUGUUGACGUA
rnacentral:rRNA from 1 species